rnacentral:rRNA from 1 species
CCUGCCCGGUGACCUAACGUUUAACGGCCGCGGUAUCCUAACCGUGCAAAGGUAGCGCAAUCAAUUGUCCCAUAAAUCGAGACUAGUAUGAAUGGCUAAACGAGGUCUUAACUGUCUCUUGCAGGCAAUCGGUGAAAUUGAUCUCCCUGUGCAAAAGCAGGGAUAAACCCAUAAGACGAGAAGACCCUGUGGAACUUUAAAAACAGCAGCCACCCCAAACAACAUAACCCCCCACUGGGCUCACCCACACACAAGCCACUGGCCUGCAUUUUUUCGGUUGGGGCGACCUUGGAGAAAAACAAAUCCUCCAAAAAUUAGACCACACCUCUAAACCAAGAGCAACUCCUCGACGUGCUAACAGCAACCAGACCCAAUAUAAUUGAUCAAUGGACCAAGCUACCCCAGGGAUAACAGCGCAAUCUCCUUUAAGAGUCCAUAUCGACAAGGAGGUUUACGACCUCGAUGUUGGAUCAGGACAUCCUAGUGGUGCAGAAGCUACUAAGGGUUCGUUUGUUCAACGAUUAACAAUCCNNCGUGAUCUGAGUUCAACCCAC